CUUGAGAGAAGCCGUCUCCGCCGACACACGGCGACGUGGUCGCCGCGCACGACGCGACACGAGCCGAGAUCCCCAACCCACCGGCGGCGGCGCGAGCACACGAUCCGCCCCCCAUCUCCGGCGCCGGCGAUGGCGAUGCCGUCGAGCGCCUCCGCCACGGCGCGGAUGCUCACCGUGCCGGCGCUGCUCCUCCUCCUCUCCUCCGCCGCGCUCCUUGUCUUCCUCAUCCUACCGUCCCUCUCCCCGUCCCCCGCCGCGCACCUCUGCGCCUGCUCGCCCCCGACCACCACGCACACCACCACUACCGUCACCACCACCACCACCACCGCCUCCCCGGCGCCCGUCACCACCUCCCCCGCCGACGUCGCCUGGCUCAAGUCUCAGCUCGCCUCCAACUCCCUCCCGCUCCUCGCCUCCCACGACGCAUGGCACCGCCUCCGCAAGGGCAUCAACCCCCGCACCCGCGAGCAGCAGCUCUUCGACAUCAACAGGCACCAUGGGAUCUCGCAUUACCCGGAUGAAGAGGCAACUAACCACACUGCGCUGCCUUGCCCCGGGGAGCUCCUGGUUGAAGAGCAUCACAGUAACUAUGGCGAGCCGUGGGCCGGUGGCCGUGAUGUCUUUGAAUUCCUUGCUAAUGCCUCCGCGCUCACGCCUAGAGACCAAGUUCUGGAAAUUGGAUGCGGGACUCUUCGCGUCGGUCUUCACUUCAUUCGGUUUCUGGAGGCGGCCAAGUUCCAUUGUCUGGAGCGGGAUGAGCUGUCCCUCAUGGCUGCACUUCGCUAUGAACUGCCAGCGCAGGGGCUGUUGUACAAGCGGCCAAUGAUCGUGAGAGGGGAGGAUAUGGAUUUCAGCAGGUUUGGGGAUACGGUUAUGUAUGAUCUUAUUUAUGCAAGUGCUGUGUUCCUUCACAUUCCGGAUAAGCUUGUUUGGACUGGGCUCGAGAGGCUUGCAGGGAAGCUGAGGCCACAGAGAGGGAGGAUUUUUGUGUCACAUAAUAUUAAGUUUUGCUCAAGAUUGGGUGGUGAUGAGUGCACACGGCGGCUCACGGAAUUGGGGCUCGAGUAUGUGGGGAAGCACACUCAUGAUAGCUUGUUGUUCAACCAUUAUGAGAUAUGGUUUGAAUUCCGAAGGCCAAAAGUUUAAGUCUUGAUAGUUGGAAGAUAGACUGGUGUGGCAUCCAUUUUGUAAUUUUGGUGGUGUGAAGUGCAGAGCAAGCUAUGGCCUGUAGUUGUAUGCCAAUGAGCUCUGACCUGAGAUCGAGAUCAUUGUUUGCUGGGUGUUGGUUCACUUUCGACCACACACAACACUCAGGAUGAAAGAUCCAAUCGCCCUUGAGCCUUCCGAAUUACAUCUGCCAGUGUAUUGCAGGUGGCAGCAUCACACGCCUGAAUUGGUCCAAGACAAGACUGCAGAAGAAGAAGAGGAAGAGGAAGCAGAGGCUGAAGGGUGGCCGUCGCCGUCGGAGGCUGAAGAAAUCGCUGCCGCCGGCGCCGGGGACCCCUUGGAGCGCGUCCUUUUGUUGUAUCUAGACGGGUCAGUGUAACCAUCCUCGAAAGAGACUCGCAUCCUCUUCCUUGUGCAAGUAGUAUCUAUGUACUUAAAACGAAGAUGCAUUGGAUGAUGGCGUCUUCUGUGCAUUCACUCCGUCCGAUCUACCAGUUUCAACAGUAGUAACUCUCAGAUGAUUUUCUCAUCACAAAGGCUUAAGAUUUUUGUGCUCUCA